rnacentral:rRNA from 1 species
UAUCGGAACGUGCCCAGUAGUGGGGGAUAGCCCGGCGAAAGCCGGAUUAAUACCGCAUGAGACCUACGGGUGAAAGCGGGGGAUCGCAAGACCUCGCGCUAUUGGAGCGGCCGAUAUCAGAUUAGGUAGUUGGUGGGGUAAAAGCCUACCAAGCCGACGAUCUGUAGCUGGUCUGAGAGGACGACCAGCCACACUGGGACUGAGACACGGCCCAGACUCCUACGGGAGGCAGCAGUGGGGAAUUUUGGACAAUGGGCGCAAGCCUGAUCCAGCCAUGCCGCGUGCGGGAAGAAGGCCUUCGGGUUGUAAACCGCUUUUGUCAGGGAAGAAAUCUUCUGGGUUAAUACCUCGGGAGGAUGACGGUACCUGAAGAAUAAGCACCGGCUAACUACGUGCCAGCAGCCGCGGUAAUACGUAGGGUGCAAGCGUUAAUCGGAAUUACUGGGCGUAAAGCGUGCGCAGGCGGUCUUGCAAGACAGGUGUGAAAUCCCCGGGCUUAACCUGGGAACUGCACUUGUGACUGCAAGGCU